AGCCUCGGCGAAACCGGGGGUAAUACCGCAUAAGGUUUCGACGACAUAAGUCGAUGAAAGCAAAGGCGGGGAUCCUUCGGGACCUGUCGUUUCUGGAUGGGCCCGCGUCCGAUUAGCUAGUUGGUGAGGUAAUGGCUCACCAAGGCUUCGAUCGGUAGCCGGCCUGAGAGGGUGAACGGCCACAUUGGGACUGAGACACGGCCCAGACUCCUACGGGAGGCAGCAGUGGGGAAUCUUGGACAAUGGGGGAAACCCUGACCCAGCGACGCCGCGUGGAGGAUGACGGCCUUCGGGUUGUAAACUCCUGUCAGGUGGGAAGAAAAGCUUGUCGGCUAAUACCCGGCAGGAAUUGACGGUACCACCAAAGGAAGCCCCGGCUAACUCCGUGCCAGCAGCCGCGGUAAUACGGAGGGGGCAAGCGUUAUUCGGAUUUACUGGGCGUAAAGCGCACGUAGGUGGCAUGGUAAGUCACAGGUGAAAGCCCUCGGCUCAACCGAGGAACUGCCUCUGAAACUGCCUUGCUUGAGUCCGGGAGGGGGGAGCGGAAUUCCCAGUGUAGCGGUGAAAUGCGUAGAUAUUGGGAAGAACACCGGUGGCGAAGGCGGCUCCCUGGACCGGUACUGACACUGAGGUGCGAAAGCGUGGGUAGCAAACAGGAUUAGAUACCCUGGUAGUCCACGCCGUAAACGAU
rnacentral:rRNA from 1 species